UACGGGGGGGGCAAGCGUUGUUCGGAAUUACUGGGCGUAAAGGGCUCGUAGGCGGCCAACUAAGUCGGAUGUGAAAUCCCCAGGCUUAACCUGGGAACUGCAUCCGAUACUGGAUGGCUUGAAUUCGGUAGGGGAGACUGGAAUUCCUGGUGUAGCGGUGAAAUGCGCAGAUAUCAGGAGGAACACCGGUGGCGAAGGCGGGUCUCUGGGCCGAUAUUGACGCUGAGGAGCGAAAGCGUGGGGAGCGAACAGG
rnacentral:rRNA from 1 species